CGUACGGAGCCCCCGGUCGUCUCAUGGACUAUUGACCCAUACACCACUAAUCUGCUGCCACCAACCAGGUCCUCCUUGGUAAAUCACUUAGUCUCAGUCAGGUUCUCAAGUUAAAAAAGAAGAGUGUAGUUUAUUGCAGACACAAACAAAUUUUAACUGUGUUCCAAACGCUGUUACUCUUUACCUUCUUAGUCUUAUUUUAUCCUGUCUCUAUCUCUUCUACCUCCCCUCACUCAAGAACCAACUGCACUGUCUCUCUAUUUCCAACUGCCUGCCAACUGCUUUUCCAACUGCCUUUCCCCACCAACUAACCCUCUAAAACCAACCAACUACCCACUCAAACCUUGGGCUAAGCCCUUUUACAAACAGAAUCUAUUGGCGUGACCGAUCUAAGAUCAUCAAGAAUAGGCAGACCUUCUUCCUCCAGCUUAACUCUACACUUUCCCCUUACAACUUCUGAUUCAUUUUAAUGGAAGGUGAGCUGAAAUGUGCAGCAAAUGGGCGUUCCAUGGUAUGCACACCUUCAAAAUGUUCAUGGUCUUCCCAUCGGACUAGUGCUGAGCCUUUGGUCUGACUCUACAGCACUCUAUUUAUGUUCUUGCCAGAGUCCAGAUCAGGCCUGUGCAGUGGGAAUGGGGCAGCCAGGUACACUUGCCCCAGACCUCAGAGGGCAAAACUGGCCAGGUGGGGGCAGGAACUAGCUGUUUUGUUUUUGUUUGUUGGUUUGGUUUGGUUUGGUUUGGUUUUGGUUUUAGUUUACAGCGGUACCUUGGUUCUCAAAAUUAAUCCGUUCCGGAAGUCCAUUCCAAAACCAAAGCGUUCCAAAACCAAGGCAGGCUUUCCCAUAGAAAGUAAUGCAAAAUGGAUUAAUCUGUUCCAGACUUUCAAAAAUAGCCCCUAAAACAGAAAUGUAACAUGAAUUUUACUUUCCAACAAGACCAUUGAUCCAUAAAAUGAAAGCAAUAAACUAUGUACUGUACUGUAAAAUCAAUAAAACAGUAUUGUUGAUUAAAAAAAUUGAAAAUGUGAUUUCCCCCCUCCUUACCAGCGCUGAUGAUAGUCGUUGUUUGGAUGGGGGGUCAGGGUGCUCUUCCAGAAUCACAAUUGGUGACUCCUUUCCUGCCAUUCCUUCCCUUGCUUCCAAAGCGUGGCACUCAAACAGGAAGAGUAACACUCUCUAAUCGGAAGCGGGGGACUAAAAACAGAACAUGUUCGUCUUCCAAAAAAAAAGUUCGCAAACCAGAACACUCACUUCUGGGUUUGUAGCAAGUUGUUCCAAGUUGUUCAAGAACUAAGCUGUUCAAAAACCAAGAUACCACUGUAUAACUUUAUUCUAACUCCCACCCAGGCCUCAGACAAGCUCUGGACGGACUUGGUCCAGAUCCUGUAAUUUGGAGGACUCACACCUGAUGGGCAAUCAGAUUCAUAGAAAUACUAGAAUGAAUUAUUUCAAUGGGGAUAUAAGGGAAAACACUGCAUAGACUUCCCGGGCUCACAUUCUUCUCAUUGUCAUUCUGCAUUUGUCCUGCCUUUCCAAAUUGUAAAUUAUUUCCAGUGAAGGCCUGACCUGAGCAAAACCAGAAUGACAUAAGCAAAACUUUUGCUCUGAGUCAGUAUGAAGCCUUAUGAUUAUGCUUGCAGGUAACAAAAACAUAGAGGUGGGUAGAACAUUAUUUCUCAGUCAGGUAGCUGGCAAAUUGGAAUUUGAACUAAAUUAAGAAAAGCCACACAGAGUUGGCAGAGUUUGGGAAGAGCAAAGAUACAGUGAGGGAUAGACCAAGAGAACAAAAGGGUAUUUUAAGAAAAGAGGUUAAAGAUAAUGGCUUCAUCUCUUCUUUGAGGGUAACUUCAUCUUUCACCCACAUGGUGCAGGUAUCACACCAUGUAGCUAAAAAGAAUGAUUCAAAAAAUAGCAAAGAGUUCCACGAGGUCAUCAACAAGUGUAGGGAAUGGAGGAUUCUAGCAUGAGGAGAGAAUGGAGAGUUACAGAGGGGGGUGGGAAGUGACAGGACACAGAAUAAAAUCGACUCCAGUUCCAUCAACUGAAGAGGAGUUUUUCAAGAACGUCUCCCUCGACGGCAGACUUCAGGAUGGUCGACCUGCUCUAUGGCGAAGCUUUGUCCUGGACUGACCAUAAAAGAUUCAAGACUCACUUUUGCCUGAAUCUUUGCUGAAAGAGUAAUUUUGGUUUCAGUAAGCCACCUUUCAUCAGUAAUUAUACCCCUGUUGAUGCAUGCUAGGAUUGUGGACAUGUGCAUGGCUUUGUACUCAAUAAAACUGAGUUGUAGCUUU